rnacentral:rRNA from 1 species
AGUGAACGCUGGCGGUAGGCCUAACACAUGCAAGUCGAACGGCAGCACAGUAAGAGCUUGCUCUUACGGGUGGCGAGUGGCGGACGGGUGAGGAAUACAUCGGAAUCUACUUUUUCGUGGGGGAUAACGUAGGGAAACUUACGCUAAUACCGCAUACGACCUACGGGUGAAAGCAGGGGAUCUUCGGACCUUGCGCGAUUGAAUGAGCCGAUGUCGGAUUAGCUAGAUGGCGGGGUAAAGGCCCACCAAGGCGACGAUCCGUAGCUGGUCUGAGAGGAUGAUCAGCCACACUGGAACUGAGACACGGUCCAGACUCCUACGGGAGGCAGCAGUGGGGAAUAUUGGACAAUGGGCGCAAGCCUGAUCCAGCCGUACCGCGUGGGUGAAGAAGGCCUUCGGGUUGUAAAGCCCUUUUGUUGGGAAAGAAAAGCAGCAGGUUAAUACCCCGCUGUUCUGACGGUACCCAAAGAAUAAGCACCGGCUAACUUCGUG